rnacentral:rRNA from 1 species
AUUGAACGCUGGCGGCAGGCCUAACACAUGCAAGUCGAACGAGUGGCGGACGGGUGAGUAAUGUCUGGGAAACUGCCUGAUGGAGGGGGAUAACUACUGGAAACGGUAGUUAAUACCGCAUACCAUCAGAUGUGCCCAGAUGGGAUUAGCUUGUUGGUGGGGUAAGGGCUCACCAAGGCGACGAUCCCUAGCUUGUCUGAGAGGAUUACCAGCCACAGUGGAACUGAGUCACGGUCCAGACUCGUACGGGAGGCAGGAGUGGGGAAUAUGGGACAAUGGGAGCAAGCCUGAUGGAGCAAUGCCGAGUGUAUGAAGAAGGCCUUCUGGUUGUAAAGUACUUUCAGCGGGGAGGCGUUACCAGCAGAAGAAGCACCGGCUAACUCCGUGCAAGCAGCCGCGGUAUAC